UACAGAGGUCUCAAGCGUUGUUCGGAUUCAUUGGGCGUAAAGGGCGCGUAGGCGGGUCGGUAAGUCAGGGGUGAAAUCCCACGGCCCAACCGUGGAAGUGCCUCUGAUACUGCCGGCCUCGAGGGGGAUAGGGGCGUGCGGAACUCAGGGUGGAGCGGUGAAAUGCGUAGAUAUCCUGAGGAACACCGGUGGCGAAAGCGGCGCGCUGGAUCCCUUCUGACGCUGAGGCGCGAAAGCCAGGGGAGCAAACGGGG
rnacentral:rRNA from 1 species